AGAUUUUAUACGCAGAUAAUCGCUACGACGCGUAGUUAAAGAACCUGUUUCUUACGGAGGUCAUCGACCAUUCAAACUACAAGUGGCACGAUGCAUUCAACAUCCAUCGUAUUUCGAAUACACGAGAACCAAGGAACAACCAGAUACAACCAAGAAAGGUCAAUAAUUGGAACAGGCUACGCCUGUUGUUUCGACACCAGAAGCGAUAAGGCGCCACAACAUAUCGCGGAUCAUCGAUGACACAAUCUCAGACGCAGGAUACAGCGAAGAAUCUACAACUUCGCACAACCUCAGAGAACCGCGAAGAAGAA